AUUGAACGCUGGCGGCAUGCCUUACACAUGCAAGUCGAACGGCAGCACGGGAGCAAUCCUGGUGGCGAGUGGCGAACGGGUGAGUAAUAUAUCGGAACGUGCCCAGUCGUGGGGAUAACGUAGCGAAAGCUACGCUAAUACCGCAUACGAUCUAUGGAUGAAAGCGGGGGAUCGCAAGACCUCGCGCGAUUGGAGCGGCCGAUAUCAGAUUAGGUAGUUGGUGAGGUAAAGGCUCACCAAGCCGACGAUCUGUAGCUGGUCUGAGAGGACGACCAGCCACACUGGGACUGAGACACGGCCC
rnacentral:rRNA from 1 species